CACACUGAGGUGGAGCGGAAGGUUGUAGGCUGGCGACCUGGGACCGGGAGACCCAGCACACUUCAAAUGCUUUUCCAUUUCCUUCCACAGGCCCGUUUCUUCUCUCCCCACAGCUCCCCCUGAUGUGGCUUCCCCGUGUGACGGAGGUGACUCUGACACAUCUCAGGCAUGGACCAACUGACCAAUUUUUGAAGUGUCUUUCCAAGAAGCAGGGCCAGUGGGACAGUAUGGCAAGAGAAGGCUCUUUUUCAGCCAUGGCUGACGACCUGGAUUCCAUCCCUGGGACCCACACGGCGGAAGGCGAGAUUUGACUCUGCCAAGUUGUCCUCUGACCUCAACAUAUGUUCCCUGAUGAGUGUGUGGACACACAUAAUAACGUUUUUAAAAAUUCAUUUCAACAAACAUUUACCAGCCAAACGCCUGUAGAUAGCCCAGACACUGUGUCCUAGGACGAUAGAUGGGGCCAGAUGAGACGUCCUGACACAGGUCAGCAUCUUUCCUCGAAGCAUGCUACUGCCCUUCACCAUCUUCACACCCCAAGACUGCGCCAACCCUCUCACAGAGAGCCAGCCGGAGCAGGCCGGAGCAGGCCCACACUAGAUUGUUUGGAGCGAGGGUUCUUUUUUAUGGAGAGGGCUAGCCAUAUGCUAGAACACUAUCUUUCUCACUCUGUAGCCCAGGUUAGCCAGAAACAUGCAUGUGGUCUUUGUGCCUCAUACUCUCGAGUACUGAAAGUACAGGGCUCUGCCCCUAAGCUUCUGAGGCGAUCUCUCCUCUGUCCUUCAAAGAUCACUGUCAAACCGGAAGUUUUAGCACUGUUGGUCAUUUGAAUUAAAGCCUGCAGCAAGAGGAGAGCUGCCACCGAGCCCCGGAGAAGUGUGAGCUGGCCCAAGGAGGAGACCUGAAGGGAAGGUCUCCUAAAAGCCCCUUCGCUUCCUACACAUAAGAAUUUGGGGCAUGUGACUAAAUUUCUCUGUGUCCCAGUUUCUUGACAGUGACAUGGGAAGGCCAUGUUAUGCUGUCAUGGUAAAGGUUUAGUGGUUGAUGAAGUGAGGUUCUCAGAGUGGGCUGACCGCAUUCCCAGCGGUUCUUUGUCAGCGCGUGAGGCACAUGCAUGACAAGGACCUUCCUGAGGCCGAGUCCCAAAGCACUUUGGCUCUCCCCUCACUUCUUGUGCCUCUGAAUGAAGUUCCAGAAAUUCCAGGAUCAGUCAGGAUGUUGGAUUUUCCUCAGAUCUGGCUUUGAGGUUUGUUUCAGGGGACAACCGUUCUAAGCUUGCCCUUUUGAGAGCUCUUGGGGGUUUAAAUCAUGAUCUGCACGGGCCUUUCUUUUAUCCUGCACACUGUAGUAGGCCUGCGCUCUGGCCGGUGACUGGGUGCCCCUCCCCUAGACAGCUAGUUGAUAGCAGCGGACACCCUUGGGCCUCAUGGUUGGCUUGUAUCCAACCUGUUUCUUCCAAGUUGGCCUGCCCUGACCAGGAAAGAACUUAGGGUUGGGUCACGUAGAUACAGAGGACGUGGCACAACAAACUACACAAAAUAACGGAUCCGUCAUGUUUGAUACAUGUAGUGAGGAGCUGCAGGCAGGCCUGCUUUUCGUCCUGCCCGGCUCCCGCAUGGCUAGCUUAGCCCCGGAAAUAACAACACACAAAUUGUAUUCAUUUAAA